UGCCAGCCGCCGCGGUAAUACGUAGGGAGCGAGCGUUAUCCGGAAUUAUUGGGCGUAAAGCGUGCGUAGGCGGUUCGUUAAGUCAAAUCUGAAAGCCCACAGCUUAACUGUGGAGGGUGAUUUGAAACUGGCGAGCUUGAGUACGGCAGAGGUUAGUGGAAUUCAAUGUGUAGGAGUGAAAUCCGUAGAUAUUCGGAGGAACACCAGUGGCGAAGGCGGCUUUCUGGACCAAUACUGACGCUGAGAUGCGAAAGCGUGGGGAGCGAACAGGAUUAGAUA
rnacentral:rRNA from 1 species